GGGGACCGGCCUCCGCCGCGGGCUCUGCCCGCUCGCCUGCUCGCCUGGUGGGGGAGAGGGGAGCGGGGCCGACACAGGGUUCCUGACCAAGCUGGUGCUUCUGCGUGUGUUCCUGCAUGACUUGGUGUGUCCCCUUCUCUUGGAUCUACUGCAGUUGACAGCAGAUAACUGAAAGCUCGGAAAGCGAAACCGUGGAUAAGCAGGGGAACUGUGGCAUCCCAUUUAAAAUUGCUUCUAUGGAUGGAGAUGCAGAAGUUCAGCCCUACGAGGUCCAUGAUUAAUUAGCUGAGCAGAGGCCAGCUCAGUAGCGCACCUCCUGUUUGCUCUCCCUCUUUCUUUGCUGCACACCCCUUUCUCCCUCACUUUUGCUUCCCUGGGAUUGCAUUCCCAAUAAAGUGUUCAUACAUAAA
rnacentral:lncRNA from 10 species